rnacentral:lncRNA from 1 species
AUGCGCUGCAUUCUGGGUAAUUUUGCGUUCUAAGAAAAAGGUCUAUACAGUAAAGCGCCUCAUCCUAUGUGCCUUAAGCCUGAUUUAUACUUCUGCGUCAAACACCGGCGUAUGCUACGGCGCUGACGCAUAGCCCUUCGCCGUGGCCAUCGCCGUCACUGACGUGCACCUCUCAAAAAAUGUAACUACACGUCGCAACGACGCGUAGCAUAAGCUCUGUGAUUGGUCGGCUUGGUAGCGCUGACGAGUCUGGGCGGGACCGAGAGGCGCGCGAAUGGCGCGACGCCGCGCGAGCGAUUGUUUACAAGUGUGGAGUCCCGUGAAGGAGCUCCGGAUGGAAAGUUUUGUUUUGUGUUUACCUCAUAGUUAAAGUUGUUGCACGUCCGCCGGUUCCUGCCUCAAAAUGAGCGAGUUUGAGCCACUUGUACAUCCCGGAAGUGUUCAGGAAAUGCAAAAAAGUAGCGAAGAAACUUGACACAGAGGAACAUUUACGCCUCACUGCCAACUAGCGUUUCGGAAGUGUUAAUGCAGACCGGCAGAGACAGCGCGCAGAAGUAUAAAUGCACAGCCACGCGCGUUGCCUGCGCCGUGGGUUACGCCGGUCACCUGACGCAGAAGUAUAAAUCAGGCUUAAAGCUUACUCUGCUACUGUGUGCGUCUACGAUAAACUCUCAAAACUAAAACUGAAGAGGGAAACAGGGAAGUGAGAAUUUGCAUUAGCAAAAAAAAAAAUCAGCAGUUUUAAGAAAAGGCUUGCUAAAUCAUUCACACACUCAUCUGGACUGACAGUUUAACACACUUCAGUGUGAUUCUGGUAAGCUUCCAUUAUUUGAUAUUCAAUAAAAUCUUGUUUUAAUUAGAUGUAUAUACUGUACUGUCUGUUUAAUGUACAUACUGUAGGAAGUACAAUAAAUGAUGCAUAACUACAAGAAUUAUUAUCUAAACCUAACCCGUAAUUGAACCUUUAUCAUAUAGGCAAGUCCAUAAUGUGUGUGUGUGUGUGUGUGUGUGUGUGUAUGUAUGUAUGUAUAUAUAUAUAUA